CUGCCUCUUCUCAGGUGACUUUCUGGGUUUCUCUCCAAGCCACCCACUGCCUCCCAGAGCCCCAUCUCCUGAGGCUCCGGGCCCUUGGCUUCUCAGAGGAGCUGAUUGUGGAGUUGCACACGCUGUGUGACUGUAAUUGCAGUGACACCCAGCCCCAGGCUCCCCACUGCAGUGAUGGCCAGGGACACCUACAAUGUGGUGUAUGCAGCU
rnacentral:lncRNA from 1 species